rnacentral:rRNA from 1 species
GAUGAACGCUGGCGGCGUGCCUAAUACAUGCAAGUCGAGCGAACAGACGAGGAGCUUGCUCCUCUGACGUUAGCGGCGGACGGGUGAGUAACACGUGGAUAACCUACCUAUAAGACUGGGAUAACUUCGGGAAACCGGAGCUAAUACCGGAUAAUUUAUUGAACCGCAUGGUUCAUUAGUUAAAGACGGUUUUGCUGUCACUUAUAGAUGUAUCCGCGCCGCAUUAGCUAGUUGGUAAGGUAACGGCUUACCAAGGCAACGAUGCGUAGCCGACCUGAGAGGGUGAUCGGCCACACUGGAACUGAGACACGGUCCAGAAUCCUACGGGAGGCAGCAGUAGGGAAUCUUCCGCAAUGGGCGAAAGCCUGACGGAGCAACGCCGCGUGAGUGAUGAAGGUCUUCGGAUCGUAAAACUCUGUUAUUAGGGAAGAACAAAUGUGUAAGUAACUAUGCACGUCUUGACGGUACCUAAUCAGAAAGCCACGGCUAACUACGUG